UGCAAGUCGAACGAAGUAGCAAUACUUAGUGGCAGACGGGUGAGUAACAUGUAGGUAUCUUCCCUUUGGUGAGGAAUAACACGAGGAAACUUGUGCUAAUACCUCAUAAGUCUUUACGGAGAAAGCUUUAUGCGCCAAAGGAUGAGCCUGCACUUGAUUAGUUUGUUGGUGGGGUAAUGGCCUACCAAGACUUUGAUCAAUAGCUGAUCUGAGAGGAUGAUCAGCCACAUUGGGACUGAGACACGGCCCAAACUCCUACGGGAGGCAGCAGUAGGGAAUAUUGCACAAUGGAGGAAACUCUGAUGCAGCGAUGCCGCGUGAGUGAAGAAGGCCUUUGGGUUGUAAAGCUCUUUCGUCGGGGAAGAAAAUGACUGUACCCGAAUAAGAAGGUCCGGCUAACUUCGUGCCAGCAGCCGCGGUAAUACGAAGGGACCUAGCGUAGUUCGGAAUUACUGGGCUUAAAGAGUUCGUAGGUGGUUAAAAAAGUUGGUGGUGAAAUCCCAGAGCUUAACUCUGGAACUGCCAUCAAAACUUUUUAGCUAGAGUAUGAUAGAGGAAAGCAGAAUUUCUAGUGUAGAGGUG
rnacentral:rRNA from 1 species